CGCAAACGAUAAGAGUAGCAGCUGGCAGAACGUGGGAGGAAUAAAGGGUUAUGGAUAUAAACUCAAAAUUUGGUCAAGAGAGGAUGUUAUACUAUCAACGCACAUGAGCGAAGAAUUUGGAGAUGAGUAUGCAAGACUGCCAUGGCACUUCGACCUACCUGGAUCUGUACAGCCUCCGGGCUCCAGCAUAAUUGCCCUCCUCGAGUGCACAAAACCAG